rnacentral:misc_RNA from 1 species
GUGGGAGGGGGCUUGCUCCCGAUGGCGGUUUGUCAGUCGCCUCAUCAGUUGACUGAUCCACCGCUAUCGGGAGCAAGCCCCCUCCCAC